rnacentral:rRNA from 1 species
UACGUAGGGGGCAAGCGUUGUCCGGAAUCAUUGGGCGUAAAGCGCGUGUAGGCGGUCCGGUAAGUCCGCUGUGAAAGUCCAGGGCUCAACCCUGGGAUGCCGGUGGAUACUGUCGGGCUAGAGUACGGAAGAGGCGAGUGGAACUCCUGGUGUAGCGGUGAAAUGCGCAGAUAUCGGGAGGAACACCAAUGGCGAAGGCAGCUCGCUGGGACGGUACUGACGCUGAGACGCGAAAGCGUGGGGAGCAAACAGG